GUACCCUAAAUCAAAAUCGAGAGUCUCUACCUAAGUUUUUUUUAAAAAAAUUUCAUUCGAAAAUUCCCUCGCACGGGAUAACUAAGAAAACCUGAGGGAUCUAAGCAAUCGAUUUUGAGGCAAAUUUCAUAAGGAUGGCUCGUACAAAGGGUCCAAAUUUUGGUUUGAGAGAUGCAUUUGAAGGAGAAAAUCCAGUUUAAGGAUCUGAUGAGAGACCAUCUCGGAUUGUAGAUGAAGCGGAAGCAGACCCUACGACUUUAGAAGUAGCAGCUUCUUCAAAGAUUGUAGAUGAAGAGGGAGCAGAUCCCACAGCCUUUAAAGCAGCAACUUCCGGUGACUACUCAGAUUCAAAGGAUUCCGAAGAGGAAACUUAACCAUUGCAACCCCUGCAGAUGUACUUCUAGCUGAAUGAGUAUAAGAAAAAAAAUCAAGUUCGCUACAAAGUUUUAUACUUAUAUCAAGGCAGAAGUGAAGGCACCUCUAAAGAAAUUAAAGUAUCCGCUUAAAUCGGAGGAGAAGAGUUGGUUUAUGAAUCACACACAGUUGAAACACUUUUUUCACAUGCAUCAGGACUCAAACCACAAGAUUAUGGGCAUGUGGAUGCUACUUGUUCGAACAUCAUGUACUGAUAAAAAAAGAAGAGGCUUGGAUCGUCAUGAAUAGUAUUCUCAUCUGCCGUAACUAUUCACUAAACUAUUCUCGAAUGAGUAGUAUGGAUUUUUUGUAGAAACAUUUUGGGUGGGAGCUUAAGUAAAAUAUGCAGAUGUAAAAGAAAAAAAUAGAGGUAAUGAGACUUUCUCAAAAU